AACACUGUUAACCUGCGGUACCUGCGGAAGGAUCAUUACAGAGUUCGUGCCCUCGCGGGUAGAUCUCCCACCCUUGUGUAUUCUCUACAUCUUGUUGCUUUGGCAGGCCGUUGGUUCGCCAACCACCGGCUCGCGGGCUGGUGCGUGCCUGCCAGAGGACCUCUCAAACUCGGUUUGUUAGUGUCGUCUGAGUACCAUAACAAUCGUUAAAACUUUCAGCAAUGGAUCUCAGAUCGGAAG
rnacentral:misc_RNA from 1 species